rnacentral:piRNA from 1 species
UUUGACGUGACUUCGUUCUGA